GGGCGGCAUGGGUGGCGGCGCGACCCGCGGUGGUGGCGGCACCGACGCCGCCAUCGGCAAGGGCGUGCGCGGCAUCCUGAGCCGCUUCACCCGCC
rnacentral:tRNA from 1 species